CUUCAAAAUGCUACACACUGUACCUUUAAACAGUGGUUCAAGUGCACACAUACAAAAGUUACAUCGACCAAUGACAAAUAAACAAUCAUUUAUACAACUAUUUUAAAAGUCUACAUAGAUAUAUACAGAAUACAUCUCAAAUAGACUAUCAAGUAUUAAAGUUGUUGUGCUGUUCAUCGCCUUCAGUAUUUCAAAACUAGACUAAACUAAAUGGUUCUCACCAUGUCCUCUCAAUGUGAACGGUUGAAUAUGGCGGAGGGGACACUAGCACAUUUAUUUUGGUUUUGUCCUGUUCUACAUGACUUCUGGUUUGACAUUUUUAAAUAGUUUUCAAAGGUUUAUGGAACUAACAUUCAACCUGACCACAGCCUGGCUAUUUUGGGAUAGAUCAGUGUUAUCAGUGUUUAUUAAAAACAAUUCUGACCUGAAUAGUCGAAGAUUCAAUGCUUCGAUAGGAGGAGCCUGAUUCGACUAAUCUUCGGAAACUUUCAGAACUUGUCAUUCUCUGCACUGAAAGCAAGCGUGCGUGUCAGGAGGAGACGGAGAAAAAUUUCAUUCACUCUGGUUUUUAUCUUGUUUAUUUUCCCGUUUAUUGUAGCGGUCUGUUCACAGCCUCUUCUGACAGUAAGCAAUUCCAAAUUCAUGUUAACCAAAGAUGAGAGAAAAUAUUCACAUGGAGACACAGUACGCUAUGAGUGUGAUGAUGGCUAUGCAUCAAUGGGAGAGACCAUCUCUAAGUGUGACACACAAUCCUGGAUUUACCCAGAAUGCAUUAGUAAUAUUUAUUCAACAAAUUCUACAUUUCAUUUCAGAAGAAGGUAACAAAAGGUGUCAGGAUGGGAGAUUGGAGACGCCUCCAAAGGGUCCGAUUAGACGUUGUCUCUCGAAGAGCCUUGCAAAUUGAC